AUCGCGCACUGGGGCUCCGGGCGGCUGGGACCGGCCUGGGGUAGCUGCGCAGCAGGUGGGUCGGUCCCGGGGAUGCAGCGCGGGGGUCAGAGAGCGACCCCAACAGGGUAGACGAUCAGAAAGGACCCCACAGAGAUGGACAUGAGGGUCCACAACUGCCAAAAACAAAUGAGGCACAGCCAGCAUACCCCUCAGCAGAACUGCACUGUUUGCACAGUCCACACACACUGAGCCAGCUCUGCCCAGGCCAAGGGACCUGCCUGUGAAGAACCCUUACUCUCCUGGAGUCUCGCUCUGUCACCCAGGCUGGAGUGCAGUGGCAUGAUCUCAGCUCACUACAGCCUCCACCUCCCAGGUUCAAGCGAUCCUCCUGCCUCAGGCCUCCUGAGUAGCUGGAAUUACAGGUCUGUGGGUUCUGGCACCACCUGAGCCCACUGGGCAUCUGGUCAUCCCUGGCACCUCUCCUUUGGAGCCACCUUGUCCCUGGCUAGACAGUCACAUUUUCCAGUGCCGUUUUGGAAAGAUGUUGCCUUUGGAGAAGGCGUUUGCCUCCCCCAG
rnacentral:lncRNA from 10 species